rnacentral:rRNA from 1 species
UGUGACUGCGGACGUCAUUA